UACGUAGGGUCCGAGCGUUGUCCGGAAUUACUGGGCGUAAAGAGCUCGUAGGCGGUUUGUCGCGUCUGCUGUGAAAACCCGGGGCUCAACCCCCGGGCCUGCAUUCGAUACGGGCAGACUAGAGUUCGGUAGGGGAGUCUGGAAUUCCUGGUGUAGCGGUGAAAUGCGCAGAUAUCAGGAGGAACACCGAUGGCGAAGGCAGGUCACUGGGCCGCAACUGACGCUGGGGGAGCGAAAAGCAUGGGGAGCGAACAGG
rnacentral:rRNA from 1 species